AAGAGACUCAGGAAGAUGUCAUUCAAAUCAGACUAUACACACCCACACAGUCCUGGGAAGAGGUCUAAUCAGACAGAUUCACUGGAAACACCUAUGUGGGUGUUCGGAGCUCUUAUUCCUGCCCCUGAAGAGCAAGGUUGGAUCUCUGAGAAGCUAUGAGCGAGUAUACAUGAGAGCAGGGAGGGAAGCAAGUGAAGGAAAUGUGGAUGCACUUUCAGGGGAUGUGAGAUUCAGCCAUGGCCUAAUGUGUGUCCCCUCAUUAAUCUGCUCUCCUUCGACCUGAGCAGAGGCCUCAUCAGCCAAAUAAACUCAAAGCACCUGCAGGACCUUUAAGGUGUUACACAACCUGGCUGACUAAUCACACUUCAGGACAUUGGUCUAAUUAAUUAUCAGAUUUUAGCGACGGGUCCUGUAUGCUCUCAGCGAUUUCCUGGAAAAGACUUUGUAAUUUGGUACUAAUUAAAGUGAAAAUGGAUAAUUUUCUCAGACACUACAUAUGUGGGCUGCACCUGGAUGUUGACCACGUUGUUGCUGGGGGACAUGUCACUCUCCUGACGCUCCGACAUCUGCUUCUGGGAGACGAUACGAUUCUAUAGUUGGACUCUUUGCUUACUUCCGUGCAGCAAAGCCUUGAAACCAGUCAGGGAAGUUUCCGUUAGGGUUCAGGAUGAGCAGCGCCUGAGUCUCGGUGAACCACUUGAGCACCAGCUCCUUCAGGCCUCCCUCUGAAGACUCCAUGUGCAGGUCAACACCCGACAUCUUCUCCAUCCUCGCAGAUUUGUCAGGAGCUGACAGAGCCGGGGCUGCACCCACUAGCCGCUCGCAUAUCUCUCUACAGGAAGACCAGGUGCCUCAUUUGACUAUUUCUGUUGGCCGUCUCUCUCAUCUGAGUAGUGGUAUUGUUUCAGUUUAUCUACCAAAGACUUCUUUCAUUGGGUUGCCGAUUUCAUUUUACUAUCUGUGUUCCUUGUACCAGGUUGAUCUUUAACAGCUUGAUCACAUAAUUCAUAUUUUAGGAGCUGAUAGAAAUAAAAGUGUGUGUGUGUGUGUGUGUGUGUGUGUGUGUGUGUGUGUGUGUGUGUGUGUGUGUGUGUGUGUGU